CUAUGCCUACGGGGGGCAGCAGUGGGGAAUAUUGCACAAUGGGGGAAACCCUGAUGCAGCAACGCCGCGUGAGUGAAGAAGGUUUUCGGAUUGUAAAGCUCUGUUAGCAGGGAAGAGGAAGGACGGUACCUGCAGAGGAAGCAUCGGCUAACUCCGUGCCAGCAGCCGCGGUAAUACGGAGGAUGCGAGCGUUAUCCGGAUUUAUUGGGUUUGAAGGGUGCGUAGGCGGAAUAUCAAGUCAGCGGUAAAAAUUCGGGGCUCAACCCCGUCGUGCCGUUGAAACUGAUGUUCUUGAGUGGGCGAGA
rnacentral:rRNA from 1 species